ensembl:misc_RNA Metazoa_SRP Metazoan signal recognition particle RNA
GCCGGGUGUGGUGGCAUGCGCCUGUAGUCCCAGCUACUUGGGAGGCUGAGGCAGAAGAAUCACUUGAACCCAGGAGGUGGAAGUUGCAGUGAGCCGAGAUCAUGCCACUGCCCUCCAGCCUGGGUAAUAGAGUGAUAUUCUGUCUCAA